ACUGAAACUUAAAGGAAUUGGCGGGGGAGCACCGCAACGGGAGGAGCGUGCGGUUCAAUUGGAUUCAACGCCGGACAACUCACCAGGAGCGACGGUUACAUGAAGGCCAGGUUGAUGACUUUGCCUGAUUUUCCGAGAGGUGGUGCAUGGCCGUCGUCAGUUCGUACCGUAGGGCGUUCUCUUAAGUGAGAUAACGAACGAGACCCUCGCUGCUAAUUGCAAACUUCUACGCGAGUAGGAGUGCACAUUAUCGGGACCGCUGGUGCUAAAUCAGAGGAAGGAGAGGUCAACGGUAGGUCAGUAUGCCCCGAAUCUCCUGGGCUACACGCGCGCUACAAAGGACAGGACAAUGGGCUCCAAUGCCGAGAGGCAACGGCAAUCCCGAAACCUGUCCGUAGUUCGGAUUGAGGGCUGUAACUCGCCCUCAUGAAGCUGGAUUCCGUAGUAAUCGCGAGUCAACAUCUCGCGGUGAAUAUGCCCCUGCUCCUUGCACACACCGCCCGUCAAACCAUCCGAGUU
rnacentral:rRNA from 1 species